rnacentral:rRNA from 1 species
GUGUCAGCAGCCGCGGUAAGACGAACCGUGCGAACGUUAUUCGGAAUCACUGGGCUUAAAGCGCGUGUAGGCGGAUCGGUGCGUCGGCGCCUGAAAUCCCCCGGCUCAACCGGGGAACGCGGCACGAAACGGCCGGUCUGGAGGGACGUAGGGGGGUCUGGAACUUCCGGUGGAGCGGUGAAAUGCGUUGAGAUCGGAAGGAACGCCCGUGGCGAAAGCGAGACCCUGGACGUCUACUGACGCUGAGACGCGAAAGCUAGGGGAGCGAACGGGAUUAGAUACCCCGGUAGUCCUAGCCGUAAACGAUGAGCACUGGGUAGGGGGCUCGCCGAUGGGCUCCCUGCCGCAGGGAAACCGUGAAGUGCUCCGCCUGGGGAGUAUGGUCGCAAGGCUGAAACUUAAAUGAAUUGACGG